UAGGGAAUCUUCGGCAAUGGACGAAAGUCUGACCGAGCAACGCCGCGUGAGUGAAGAAGGUUUUCGGAUCGUAAAACUCUGUUGUUAGAGAAGAACAAGGACGUUAGUAACUGAACGUCCCCUGACGGUAUCUAACCAGAAAGCCACGGCUAACUACGUGCCAGCAGCCGCGGUAAUACGUAGGUGGCAAGCGUUGUCCGGAUUUAUUGGGCGUAAAGCGAGCGCAGGCGGUUUCUUAAGUCUGAUGUGAAAGCCCCCGGCUCAACCGGGGAGGGUCAUUGGAAACUGGAGACUUGAGUGCAGAAGAGGAGAGUGGAAUUCCAUGUGUAGCGGUGAGAUGCGUAGAUAUAUGGAGGAACACCAGUGGCGAAGGCGGCUCUCUGGUCUGUAACUGACGCUGAGGCUCGAAAGCGUGGGGAGCAAACAGG
rnacentral:rRNA from 1 species